rnacentral:rRNA from 1 species
GCAGCAGCCACGGUAAUACGGAGGGGGCUAGCGUUGUUCGGAAUUACUGGGCGUAAAGCGCACGUAGGCGGCUUUGUAAGUUAGAGGUGAAAGCCUGGAGCUCAACUCCAGAAUUGCCUUUAAGACUGCAUCGCUUGAACACGGGAGAGGUGAGUGGGAUUCCGAGUGUAGAGGUGAAAUUCGUAGAUAUUCGGAAGAACACCAGUGGCGAAGGCGGCUCACUGGCCCGUUGUUGACGCUGAGGUGCGAAAGCGUGGGGAGCAAACAGGAUUAGAUACCCGCGUAGUCCCUGUCUCUUAUAA